rnacentral:rRNA from 1 species
AGUUAACACCUGCAUUAUUUGACGUUACCUACAGAAGAAGCACCGGCUAACUCCGUGCCAGCAGCCGCGGUAAUACGGAGGGUGCGAGCGUUAAUCGGAAUUACUGGGCGUAAAGCGCAUGCAGGCGGCCUGUUAAGUCAGAUGUGAAAGACCCGGGGCGUUAACCUCGGAAUUGCAUUUGAAACUGGCAGGCUAGAGUCUUGUAGAGGGGGGUAGGAAUUUCAGGUGUAGCGGUGAAAUGCGUAGAGAUCUGAAGGAAUACCAGUGGCGAAGGCGGCCCCCUGGACAAAGACUGACGCUCAGAUGCGAAAGCGUGGGGAGCAAACAGGAUUAGAUACCCUGGUAG